AGAGUUUGAUCAUGGCUCAGGAUGAACGCUGGCGGCGUGCUUAAUACAUGCAAGUCGAACGGAGAGUAAGCAAUUACUCUGAGUGGCGAACGGGUGAGUAACGCGUGGGCGACCUGCCCCGAAGGCGGGGAUAACAGCUCGAAAGGGCUGCUAAUACCGGAUGUGGUUAUGGUCUUUAGAAAGCCACAACCAAAGCCGCAAGGCACUUUGGGAGGGGCCUGCGUCCCAUCAGCUAGUUGGUAAGGUCACGGCUUACCAAGGCGACGACGGGUAGGGGACCUGAGAGGGUGAUCCCCCACACUGGCACUGAAACACGGGCCAGACACCUACGGGUGGCAGCAGUAGGGAAUAUUGCACAAUGGGCGCAAGCCUGAUGCAGCAACGCCGCGUGCGCGAUGAAGGCCUUCGGGUCGUAAAGCGCUUUUCUGGAGGACGAGGAAGGACGGUACUCCAGGAAGAAGGCUCGGCUAACUACGUGCCAGCCGCCGCGGUAAUAC
rnacentral:rRNA from 1 species